ACGGAAGGCAGCAGUGGGGAAUAUUGGGCAAUGGGCGAAAGCCUGACCCAGUAACGCCGCGUGAAGGAUGACGGUCUUCGGAUUUUAAACUUCUUUAAUUGGGGAAGAACAAAAUGACCUACCCAAAGAAUAAGUCACGGCUAACUACGUGCCAGCAGCCGCGGUAAUACGUAGGGGCCAAGCGUUAUCCGGAUUUACCGGGCGUAAAGGGCGUGUAGGCGGUCUUGCAAGUCAGAAGUGAAAUUCCUGAGCUCAACUCGGGCGCUGCUUCUGAAACUGGAGGACUUGAGUGCUGGAGGGGAGAGCGGAAUUCCUAGUGGAGCGGUAAAAUGCGCAGAUAUUAGGAAGAACACCGGUGGCGAAGGCUGCUAUCUGGACAGUAACUGACGCUGAGGCGCGAAAGCGUGGGGAGCAAACAGGAUUAGAUACCCUGGUA
rnacentral:rRNA from 1 species